CCCCAGCGCUGCCAGCCUGGGCCAUGUUUUCAAGCCGCAAUGGAGGAAAGAAGUUUCCUUGGGGCCACGACUAUCUAGAAAAUACGCUGACACAGGGACACAGCUACAUGAUGUCGACCGCUUGCUUCCCUUACCCCAGCAGUUCCUUCUUCCCUUGACCUGUGGGCUAGAGAUAGUGAGCACUUAUUUCUCUCCUGGCAUAAAGUAAACGUUACACGGGUGUCAUGCAGAACACUGAGAAAGCCCAGGAAAACACAAAGCUGGAGGGAAAAGCAAACAAGAACGCAAGGUGGGGGGAGAAACCCAAAACAAAAAGAGAGUGAAAAGCAAAGUCAAGCAAAGGCUUACAUCAAACGUGGUGCUGCCGUAAACCCUCCACAUAUCCGGAACGCUGCCCCAGCUCCCAGUAUGAACAGCUUGUACAAGUUCAGGGUGUUCCUCUCCCAGAAGCCAUCUGGGAGCGUUUUCUAGAACCUUCUGCCUGCCAGAUGCCCCGUCAUCCACGAGGCGGCCCGGGUCUGAUCCUGGCCGAGCUGGAGGUCACAGAGUGCUCCAGGCUCAGACUCCCUGGGCUGCCCCCUUGCACACUAGUUUUCUAGGUGACCUGGAGAGAGUUCCCGCCCUCUCUGUGCCUUGCCUUCCUCGUCUGUGGAACGGGGCUCCUUCCACAUGGAGAAGAGAACAGAGCGAUGAAGAGGAAUGUUCUACACCACAGCUGACGGCGUGGACGACUGGCCAAACGGAACACUCAGCAAAACACCCAGAAACAGGACAGUCCAUGCGACUCCACUUCAGAGCUCAGAACCGGGCGUGACACACUAAAACCAACAGCACAAGCAAGCUGAGUACUUCCUAAUUAGCCUCCCAUCAGACCGCGAGCGCAUGCGGAGGCCGCCCAGGCUCCGGGGACAGGACACGCUGCAGGAAGCCGGGGAGGUCACUGCCGGGUCCCUCACGUCAGGUGACACUGUCCAAGAAGACCUCACUUCAUGAUCGCUAAUUUGUGGCUUGUAUACCCAUCCCAAGCGCUUCCAAAGCUCUCAGCCAAAAGGCAUAUGAGAUUUUGUAAAGAUUGGGAAGCAAAGUAAUCAGCCACACUUCGCCCCACCCAGAGAAUUCCCCUUUCUCUGGGUGGCGGAUGUGACUGUGAAGUUGAGAAGGAAAUAAAUGAAUUCUCUCUGAAACUCCUCUUGGUGGUCAAGAGCCCUGGUGUCUCACUGCAUUACU